CUAAUUGUUGUAGGCCCAAAUCUUCCCAAGCCCAAGCAUCAAUCCAAGAUAGAACUAGAUUUUCAUCAGCAACGUCUCUUUUGCCUCCCCUUUCUACUUUGGCAUAAUAUCACCAUCAUUGUUCCUACAUGGCAGAUUUUUGCCUCCCAUUUUCACCAAAGUCUUUUCCUUCUCUCUCUCCAUUUACGUUUUUCCAGCUCUUUUCUGCGCAAGAUUAAGUCAACACCAGAAGCCAAACGACUUUUAGAUUUUGAUUCUCUAUGGUAGAGAUUUAAUUUUUAAACGGCUCUUUUGAAGACCAAAAUCCCAAUCUGUGACCUCUCUGAUUUUGGAUUCAAAUUUCAAAUCAAAAACUCAAGUUCCAUCUAUAAAUCUUCCCCAAAGUUUUCAGCCGAAACCAAGCUGGAACACAGGGAAAUCCAGGCUUGAAUUAUCAAAAAUCUCUCAACUCAACUGAAUCUUCCAUCUUAAUCUUUGUUUUAGCAUUUAACAAUCUGAUACUCAAAAGUCCUUCAAUUUUGUCGCUCAACUCUCCAGCCAAAGGAUCAGGUCGGAAUCCCUAAAAAAUUCAGUUUAUAUCACACUCUGUUUAUUCUUUUAAUCUCAAGCUUUACAAUAUGUGGAAAACUCCUCAAUAUUUAGUCUUCAUUAUUAUAUUCUCCACGACUAAGGAGUGUAGAUCUAACCUUUAAAGCUCCUAGUUCACUGCCCCACAACAGGUAAUGUCCGACUUUGUUUCUCAUUCUCUUUAGUUUAAAUGUACUAUUUUUACCUUGAAGAAUCAUGUCUUAGACUCUUUUCUGUUGUUGUGAUAAAAUAUGUUAGUAGAAUUUUGACAUGAUUAAUUUGUCAUUUCGUUUGAUUUAACUAUUUGGAAGAGUAAAUCACGUUUUAGCUUAAGCCUUUUCUUGCCCUUUUAUAAUAAAUAUGUCGUGUAUAUCUUCUGUGUUCCUUUAGUGUAUUAUGCAUUUUUUGUUCAGAUUUUAACUGCUAGAAAUAUUAUUUUAGGAGUAGUAUGGAUUUCACAUAAGAGAGGCUCAUGUUUGGUACAAUACUCUGUGUCAGCAUGUAUCUGUGCUAGUUCUGUACUCCCCUCUUAAUUUUAAGUUUAGGUACUACACUGUUAGAAUUGAUAGUAUAAUUUCUUGUACCAUAUGUGCCUUUAUGCUAUUUCUAAGAUCCUCUGUAAUUGCACUUUUUUUUAUCUAAAGUAACUUUCAAAGAGUUUAUAACAUUUUCUUGUCUGCAACUGAGUUAGUUUAAAUCAUAUUUAGGAUGUUAUUUAAGUCAGGAAAUUAAUAAUAUUUUUCAACGUUGCUAAAUUUUACCAAUUUGAAAGGUUCUUAAGCAAAUGAUAUGCAUAAGAACUGCCCUUUUUUAGCAUAAGUUCAUGAUUUAUGCACUCUUUCUAUAACUUUAGCUUUCUUCUUUAUUUUCCUUAAGUGUUUAGUGUUUAGAUGUUCUUUCUAAUCCUCUUCUACCUUCCUUUCUUUUGUUUCACGUGAACACCAGAGCCGAAGAGUUCUACUUUGAGACUCAACGACGCCGAUGCCGCAUAUCCUCAAUCACGUUCAGCUUCUACACUUCUUGAAAGCAAGUCAUAAAAAUAUUCACUCCUCUGUUUGAGAGCCGAACAUGGCCGUCUAGCAGAUCCUCUGCUGUCUUAUUUUUGCUUAUGGUUGAUGACUAACAUUUUACUGUGUGGUUAUCUUUUAAUAUCAGUUGUGUCAUCUAUUUAAGUUGUGCGAUUAACUUUAAAACCAAGUGAUAGUAUGUGAUUACUCACUACGCUCGCAUUUGAUCACGUAAGAUCUUCACCUCUAGUUAACAAUGAAUUACUAACUCUUAAAGAUCAGUCUUUGGUUUAGUUAAAAUGUCGACAAUAGAUGCUCUGCGUGGUUUGGUUUCCAAGGUCUUUUGUUUGGGAUCAAUAAUGAAUAUUGUUUUGAUAUAAGUCUUUGAAUUUUUGACGAAAUGUUUCCCUUUUGUUUGACGUAAGUCGAAGAUGGCCGACCAUUCUCUACUUCAAAAGACAAUUUUAUAAAUUAAUUGUACUUUAUCAAACUUUAAACUUUCUUCAAGUCUAACGUUGGUUUUUCAUUUUGGACUUUAGUCCAUUGUUUUUUAGGAAAUUGUCUCUUUUCAAAUUUUGGUUCUUUAGACUCUAAAGGAAAAGCAAAUUUCAUGUAACUAUACUGUAAUGACGGAUCCUUUUAAAGUUAUGUUUAUGUUACUUCGGCCUAAAACUAUUUUACACUUGGCCUUGAUUAUAAGUCCGGUCGGUUAACCAUUUAAUAUGGAUCUUAAAGGGAUGUUUUAGAUUAGUUGAACCCUUACCUAGAAUCUUUAGGUUAAACAGGCCAUUAACAGAGUUAUACUUUAAUAAUUUAGAUGUCCUAAUUCACCAUAGAAAAUAAUUAGGUAGCGACUCUUUAACUCUAAUCAAAUUCAGAAUUGCCUAUAUGUUGUACCUUAAUUUGACUCGGUUUAAAAUGGGGUAUAACAGAGAUUUAGUACCUUCGUCUUCUCUGACUAGAACGACAUUUACAGCUACCUCCGAGACCGCUAAGUAAAGCAAGUGUUUGCCUUCCUCCGGUUUCGAUAGUAACGGAGGACUUGAUAAAUACCUUUUCAAAUCUUUUAGGGCAUGCUGGCAUUGUUGUACUUCUUCUUUAGAUGUGAGAAAAAGUGAUGGCAUUCUUCCGAAGACUGGGAAAUGAACCUGCUUAGAGCGGUCAGUCUUCGAGUUAAACUUUGGACCUAUUUCACAUUUGACAGCUGGUAGGGAAUAUCCUCAAUGGCUUUAAUUUAAUCGGGAUUGACUUCGAUCCCUCUUUGUGAGACUAGAAAACCCAAAAAUUUAUCGGAGCUAACUUCGAAUGCACACUUUUCGACGUUAAACUUCAUGUUGUACUUCCUUAGGAUUCAAAAGUUUCUUGGAGGUGUUUCAGGUGGUCACCUGCUUUCAAAGACUUAACCAACAUAUCAUCUAUGUAAACUUCUACUAUUUUCCCUAUUUGCUUUUCGAACAUUUUGUUCACGAGUCUCUAAUAAGUGGCUCUUAAGGCCAGAGGCAUCACAUUAUAGCAAUAUGUGCCAAAAUUUGUUAUGAACAAAGUCUUUUCUUUAUCCUCCAGGUUUAUUUUGAUUUGGUUGUACCCAGAAUAGCCAUCGCGGAAACUCAUCAACUCGUGCCCAACCGUCACAUUAAUCAUUUGAUCAAUGUUUGGCAAUGAGAACGAGUCUUUUAGGCACGUCUUAUUCAGAUCUUUAUAAUCUACGCACAUGCUAAAUUUAUUAUUCUUUUUUGAAACUACUACUAUGUUAGCUAGCCAGUCAGGGUAUUUUACCUCCCAAAUUUAAUCGAUAUAAAGCAAUCGAGUUUCCCCUUCUUUGACAAAUCAUUUUCGACCUCGGCAAUCAUGUGUUUAUUUUGCCUUACCGGAGGGAUGUUGGGGUCCAGGAUUAACUUUUGCAUGGCCAUCUCUAGCAGAAUACCUGUCAUAUUAGCAUGCGACCACAAAAAAACAUCAACAUUAGUUUUAUGAAAUUCUAUAAAUGCUAACUUGAGCUCGAGGUUUAAUCCUAUACCCAUGUGGAACUUCCUUUCUAUGAAUUUCUCGAACAUUGUGACUUGUUCGAGUUCUUACGCCAUGGAUUUGGUUGUCCUUUCCUUCCAGUACUUGAAAAUACCUUAUACCUGAUAGGAUUCCGACGGCUUCUCCCCUUUGUCGACCUCGUUUAGUUCGGGAGAGGGCGUCAGCUCCUAUAAUUACUAUGUCGCAUGCUCCUUCCUCUUACUGCUGAAAACCGAGAUCGCAUUCAUAUCCCGUGCCACCGGUUGAUCUCCUCUUAUUUGCUUAAUUCCCUCUAGAGUUGGGAAUUUCAUGAGUGGAUGAUAUGUUGAUGGCACAACCUUCAUCUCGUGUUGCCAAGAAUAAUGUUGUAGCCCAUGUCGCCGUCUACUACUUCAAACAAAGUAGUCUUCAUGACCCCUUCGGCAUUUAUGGGCAGCAGGAUCUCCCCUCGGGUUGUCACACUUGCUAAGUUGAACCUGUCGAGAAGCUUUGUGGCUGGAAUGAUGCUUCUGGUUAGCUUAUUGAAUGAUAUUGGCUGAACUUCUUGUGUCCACCAAAACACGUUUAGUUUUAAAAUCUCAAACAUUAAGAGAAUUACUUGGGCAUAAUUGUGCAGUAGUAGGAGUCCACCAACGUCCUCCUCCGUGAAGGUGAUAUCGUCCUCGGUAACUUCCCAAAGUCUUUUGCUAUGAGCCAUCGAUACCUUUGUCUUUUUUUGCUGUUGAAAAAGUUACAUCAUUAAUCUCGUUCCCCCCUCCGAAAAUCAUGUUAAACGUUAGACGAGGAGGAUCUUCUCCUAUCUUCGAGGGUUCUGUGUUAUCCCGAUUGCGGCCAUAGUUAUUUUAGCUCAGUCUUGUAAGAACUCUCUCAUAUUGACAUUUUUCAGCAACGUCACCACCUCCUCGCGUAGAUGUCGGCAAUUCCUAGUCCGGUGGCCAUUAGUCCUAUGAUACUCACACCAUAGAUUAGGAUCCCUCUGACUAGGAUCAAAUCUCAUCGGCCUCCAGAACCGUGCUUCCUUAAUGUUCCCCAUCGCUGAUACCAGCUCCACUAUGUUGACAUUGAAAUUAUACUCGGAUAGUAUAAGGUAGGUGGAAUACUAGGAGCCUGAUGUCUCUUUGUCCUGCAAUGAUCUGUUAUUCCAGCCACAAUCAACUCUCUUAUCGGUAGCGAGCCUGUCCGCUGACCGAAAACCUCUGUCGUGUCCUUCGGCCCUUUCGUAGGGUAAAAAUUGGCCUUAGAAGAUCGUCGAUCUGUGUCAAAAUCAUCCUUGGACUUCUCCUUAUUCUUUCUCGAUCCCGACCCUUGGUUGAUGACGAGCAUAAAAUACAAUACAAAAUUGAUGCUCGCUAGCCAAAGAUAGUAUAGUUCAAUUAUCGUCUCCACAGAGAUUGGAUUUAAACAAUGCUCUAGUAAUUUCUGGUUUAACUGCUAUUCAAGAUGAUCAAAACUUUAUUGGAAUGAUUAUGAACUGUGAUUAACUACUAGAGGAAAACAAUUGAUAAUUGAUUGCAAAGAACUAGAGAUUAGCAGAGUUGGUUUCUUAUCAGUGUGAGAAAUAAGAGUUUUGACAUGAUAGGUGCAAGAUUGUUAUGGAUAUGAUACUGUUGUAUUUUACUCUUGAGGUUAUAUUGAUUCUUACUAAUUCAAUAGGCGAUUAGCUUAUACUUAUGUUAUAUUAAACUCUUGAGGUUAUAUUGAUUCACACUAAUUCAAUAGGUGACUAGCUUAUAUUUCCGAUGCAGACUCCUCUCUCGAAAAAAUCUAAAUAUUUCAAACAAAAUAAUGUGAGGUGCGGUGAAACUUGCAAGAAUCUAUCAGUAGAACUGAUCUAAUAGAAACUUCUCUCGAAUAUUUCACAAUCUUAAUUCAAACGGUAACUCGAAAAGCUCUCUCGAUUACGUCAAAGAAUCACCAAAAUUAACUAAGGCAUACAAUGCAAUAAUAUUCAAUAAGAUGUUUUUCUUUCGAUUAAACACUAUAAAGAAUAAAAUCACAACUCUAUUAAAGCUCCUCCAAUAAAUUCAAGCAAUUAAACAGUAAUCGAAUCAAUAAAUAACAAUCAAGUCACUAAAUCAUGUCAAACCCUAAGGUAAAUUACUCCAAGUAUAUGGAGAAAGUCAUCACAAAAAGACUUAAAGAAUAAGAAAGCAUCAAUCUAACGUUACAAUCCAAACUCCCGUAGGCUCGCAGCUACCACGACCAUAAGUACUUUGCUCAUUCGUAAGCCCCUUUAGAGAUAGGGCUGAGCCAGGAGCUUACUUCGAGUAUUUAUGACUCUGGUGGCAAUACGUGAUAGGCAAAUGACAUGAUUCUCGAGGAGUUACACGACGACCGUGUGAUGACGCAUCAAAUAGAUGUAAGGGUGGAUGACUCAGUAUGUCCUUGUAUGGACUGAUUAUGUUCCCCACAGGGAGAGCUUUAGAGGAAAUAGGAGCGGACAUCUAUAUGGGCUUCAUGUGAUUCGAAGCCAACCAAUUUGUAUUGCAAGAAAGUCCAUGUACCUAUGUAUACCUAAUGAAAGCCAACAAGAGUCUCUUAACACUUACCUGCCUAAACCAAGUAAGAUUCAAGAAUCAAUCCAUUACCAGUAAGAUACAAUACGACUUAGCCAAAAAAGGUGAGCGCCUCGCGCAAAACUUAUUGAAAACAGCCUAGCUAAUGAGCAAUCUUUCUAAAGCAAGAAGAAAGGGUGCAUCAGCUGCACGAAGUUUGAAUUGAUGGAAAGAUGAUGAAAUCCUAUGUCUUGUAGCCUCCAAUGCUCUCCCAAAGCUUCCAAGGUCAAAAGUCCUCUCAAAAAUAUCUUUUUGGUGUAUUUAUACCAUGUAGGAACAUGCCCAAAUGAAAUUACCCUUUCCAAGCUGAAACAGAAAAAAUGCUCUAAGAAUUUUGCACAGGUGUUGCGCAGAUAACUAGGAAUUAUGGUUUAUUUUACACUCCUUCUUACUUGAGUUUUGAUUAAAAAUGCAUAUAAAAUAGUCCCAAAGGCUUACAUGUUGUACUUGUUUGAAGGGUUUGGUCAAAAAGGUGGCAAUUAGUCAAAACCAACUCAAAAAGGAGUGAAAUAUGCACAAGUACCAAGAACAAGUCCAAGCACAGUGCAACAGUUCCACUGCGGCCGCAUUCUAUUUAGUGCGGUCAGUAGUGAAGAGAUUCAGAGAGUGCACAUUUUGGAAACUCAAGCACUGCGGCCGCAAAGCAUUUUGUGCAGACCAUAGUGGCCUCUUUGCGGCCGCAAUCAAGUUUAUGCGGUCCGCAAAGACGGGGUUCAGAGAGUUGGGAUUUUUGGAGAUUAAUGCUAAUGCGGUCCGCGGUCCUUUUUGUGCGGACCGCAGUUGAAGCCACCGCGGUCUGGGUGCAUUUUAUGCGGCCCGCAGUGGCCAAGUUCAGAGAGCAGAGAUCUAAAAACAAGAAGCCUCACCACGGCCGCACUCGAUUUUGUGUGGACCGCACUACCUCCACAGGGGUAUUUUUGUCUAGAAAAUUCGGCCUAGUAUAAAUACUUUCUUUUCCCAUUUUUAGGUCAUCUUUUGUAAUCUGACUUUGGACUAAGCACGUGAACAGCUGUUCUUAACCAUUUUGAGUAAUUUUAUAGUGGUUUUAUCAUUGAAUCUUCAAUUAUUAGCUUGUAAUUAAAUCUUAUGGGUUUUUCUUUAUCUAUUUAUCAGUUUUCUUCUAUUAUUAUGAGUAGCUAGACCCAUUAGCUAGGGUUGUGGCUCAACCCUAGUAUGGAUAUUUUAUGGGUCUUAAGUUUUAAGGCUUGAAUGUCUAUGGGUGUUUGAUAUUUGGACUAAUUUAUGUUUUCCAUGUUGAAUUAGUGGUUGCAAACACUAAUUUGUGCCUUUUUGACUUGGGCUCUUCUGAGAAAGAAAGUUUGAGUCUAGGAAAAUUAGUCCAACAAGGAAUUGGGUCAUAUUCAAGAGAUUGAUAGCCCCAAUUAAAGGGUUAAACCUAGAGAUAGUAAUACCCGACUUGAACCUAAAUUGCUUGCACAAAUUAUCAUACCCAAUUGAUCUUGAGAAAGUCAAUUAGGCAAAAUCACUCAAAUUACCGAGAGGUAUAGAGUGAGAAGUUUAGUGCAUUGGUUAUAUCAUAAUCCCCAACAUGACAAUCUUGCCUUAGAUUCAAGAACCCAUCAACUAUUCACCUAGGAGAAAGUCACUUCCCUAGUGCCUCUUUAACCAUUUAGACAACCUUUCAAGUAUCUUACUCUUAGCUUAAUUUAGUAUCUUAUUAUCAUAAUAUUAGAAGUAAUAAAAAGACCAAAGAUGAUUGGAAGAGUAAUUAAGAGCACUACGCAUCUCUAGUUUAGAUAGGAAUCCAAUUCCCACUUCUAGCUCCCUGUGGAUUCGAUCCCAACCAUCUCGGGUAAAAGCUGCUUCGACCACUCUUGCUACUUUAUAGUGGUGUAGGGUGUCGUUCCCCCUUUUUCCCUCCUUUUCGUCGGAAAAUCGGGUUUAUGAUAUUUUUGGGUAUAGGACAACUCAUUCCUUUUGGGAACGUGGUUUGCAUUUUGGAGAGUCGCCACCUAAUGAUUUAAGGUGCAUUAGGACACCUAUAGGGUUCAUUUCUAAGUUUGUUUGAUAACCAAAGAUAUGGUAAGGGCUUGAAAUUAUCCUAAAGGGAAGGUGUUAGGCACCCCUCAGGAUCCACUAGUGUGGUUCCCGGCCAGACAGUUUUGUGAAUUUGUAUAGUUAGCAAAUAGACAAAUAUAGGCUCAAAUAGUAGGGAAUUUAAGUUUAAACACAUAAGAGUUUGAAAACAAUCAUUAAAAGGAGAAUUUUAAAAAGGGGUUCCAGUUUUACAAAUACUUGAGAAUAUAAAAAGGAGGGGAGGGGGAGAGUCCUAGGUUUGUUUAUAACAUAGAUCACAUCAAUGCGAUACCCGGUAUGACACUCCUCAUAAGAGGGUAUACACAUGGUAUUAGCGCUCCAGUCAUCAUAUCCAUAUCUACCCUUCCCACCCCGUUAAGGUAUUAAAGCGCAGAUCGGUCUCGACCUCUAUUGCAUGCUAUUACCCGUCCCAUUCCUAUUAGUCCCAGAGGAAUUUAGGACUACUAUUCCUAUAAAAGGGAGGAUUUAGGCUGACUCUUAGGUUUUAAAGGUAAAAGGCUAAGGAGACAGACAAAACAUGUAGGACUGCGUAUAACGGGGAAACACAUAAAUAAUUAAGAGGCUCAUAUAUACCUCCGCAGACAAUGCAUAUAAAUAACAUGACUUAAACACAGUUAGGGUCAGAAUUUAAAGUACUAAAGCAAAGUGUUUUAAUUGUUGAAGCAGACCAAUUUAUUACAUAACUCAGAUAAGAAGUCCGAAUCAGGCCUGCCUGCUGGUUGUAGCAGUGCUAAUUAAACAAAAGUGAGUUCAGUUUUAUCAUUAUUACCUGAGGCUUGCCUAGGCGCAGUAGUGAGCAUGAUAUCUAUUACUGAUUAGGGGUGUAGUAAAACAUUAAACAAUUUGAAACGAGUGAUUUAGAUCCUAUAGGCAUGCUUUCUGACCGUAUUAAUUUAAAAGAGCGGGUUAUUUAAACUGAUUCAAAACUGUACGAGUCAAAUCGAUUUUUUUAACUAAACUGGUUUUAGAUCCUAUAGACAUGAUCUCUAUUAUAGCUAAUUUUAAUUCCUACAAACAUGGUAUCUAAGUAUUAAAUGCUGAUUUUGGUCCUAUAGGCAUGGUAUCUAAUUGAACAUGAAGUGAAGCAGGCGGGAUUUAUUUGAUCAUAGCGAAAUUCCUAUAGGCAUGAUUUCUAUGAAAAUUGAUUUUUGAUCUUAUAGGCAUGACAUCUAAUUUCAAAGCCGAUUUUAACCUUGUUGGCAUGAUGUCUGAUUAUGGCCAUUUAGACCCUAGAGGCAUGGUGUCUAAGUGUGGAAGUAAAACAUGCAGAAUUUAUUAAAAAGAUCCUAUAUGCAUGUUAUCUACCCUUCUAAUAGCUAAAGCAUGCAUAAUCACCCCAUCCCAUUUCACUAGCCAACCCCAAUAUUUGUUACAAAUUGUUACAGGCCAAAAAUGACUGAAUUACAUCAGAAAAGUGCAAAAAAAAAAAGUUACAACCAUAGGAAGCCUGAUUCUUGACUUCCUCUCUGAGUUAUGGAAUAAACUACCUCAAAUGCCCAUGUUGUUUCAAAGCCUUUCUCAGACCUGGGUGUGUCAAAGUUCCCUAAGGGCCUCAAAGGACCCCGGGCAAUGCUUACACCUAGGUUUGCAUAAAUAGACAGAAAUGAGUGCAGUGUGGAAGGGCCAGAAGUGUUUAAAAUCAGUUGGGGUAAUCAUCAAAACACAGAAUUAAUAGUCAUAAAAGGGGUUAAAGGGGUUUUGGGAACACAUUGUUUGUAAGCACAUGACCCAACAUGGGUUUGGUUUGGUCAUGCACAACAAUAGAUGAUGCUGCCAUGGCCACAAACCAACCAAAGGAACACAAACACAUAGAGAGGAUAUGGGGUCUGGGAUUCAUACACAUAGUAGAGCAUUAAUUUAAAAGGGGAAGGGAACAUAUUUCAGCAUGUUAUUAAUGUAACUUGGCUACAAAAACAUAAGCAGAAGUAGACAAGAAUAAGAGAAGUUGGAACAAUUAAAGAAACAUGUUGUUGUUGAUGCUUGAAAAUUAACUAGGACAUACCAGUAGAGAAGCAAAGUGCAGAAAGGAAAAGUAAGCAAAAUUUCACAGUCUAGCCUUGGCUUUCAGCCGACUAGACAAAAGCAGUAGCACAAGUAGUAGUAGAGAAAAGAGAGAAAGUUUUGAGUGUAAGUGUGUGUUCUUGAACUCAAAUUGUUCGUGUUUUUGAAAGAAGAGGGGUGGGUAUUUAUAGUUUUGAAAACGAGUGAAGAAGAGGUAAAAUCUUAAACACAAACAUGAAAAUAAUCACAAUCAGAAUCAAUUAAUACAAGUGAUUUCCUUUAAUUAAAGAACCACUGUUUAACGGGUAGUAACAGGUUUAAUUAAGGGAAGAAAUCAGUUUGGGGACAGAUUGAUUAUUGCCAUAUAAGGGGGCAGUAAAUGUAUGAAGUAAAUAACCAAGUCUAGUACAAAAUAGGCUUAUUUUGGGAAAGGAUUCAGCAAGGUAAAACAUCACAGUAAAGGAAAGGAAUCAAUUAAUUUUAAAUAGAUGAGUAAAAAUUAGGGCUCAUAAGAAAACCUUUUACAAUUUGUCGGAAGAUCGAGGAAAUCAAGAUCAAUCAAUAAAGGAACAUGAUUCUGCACUCCACCAUAUAAAUAGCAAGGGAUGAACAAGCAUGCAGAGUUAAACAUGUUGACAAAAAGAAGCAACAAAAACAUACAGUAGCAGUAGGGGUAAGUUAGGGUUCAGUAGCAAGAAAAUAUUCGAAGCACAGUAGUCAAGUAGUCGCAUAGAAUCAACAGUGAAGAAGAACAUAGUAACAGGUAAAGAGAGUCAGAAACAAGUAAAGGUCUCACAGUAACAAGUGAGGCAAAACUUCUAAAAAAUUAGGGCUUCAUUAGUAGCCGAAUUUAAGAGAUGAUAAAAACUCAAAAUCAGAUGAGUCAAAUAAGGAAAAGAGAGUCAUAAACGAAGAACUUAAAAUAAGCACACAUUUAAGCAAACAAUUUCAGAACUCGGAUAAGACCAAAAGGGAACUAGGGUUUUUUAACAUGCUGAAAUAGAUAGAAAAACAACAUGAGCAAACCGUUUUAAACAUAGCAAAAUCACAGAAAACAUUAAAAUCAGAGAAGAGCUCUUUUGAAAAACAUAAAGGAAAACCCUGAUCGUCGAAAAAUGUAGAGUUGUUUUGAAAGAAAAGUUGAAGAACCUUCGAGAAAGCACUUAAGAAGUUCGUAGUAAACACAGAUAUAAGAUAGAUCUGAAGAAAAUUACAAGAUCUUAAAGAUUAAGGUUUUAGAAAACCCAGAAAAGAUGAGAAAGACCUUGAGAGUUACCGAUCUAACCAGAAAAGUCAAGGAUCUGCCUUGAAAGGCCAUGAAUGGCCGUAAAAAGGUCAUGGAUGGCCGAAGAAAGGCCAUGAACAGAAGUCGAGCAAGGAUUGGACCAGAUUCCUUCGAGGUCUGGCCAUGUAACCACAGAAACAAAUAACCAGGAGCCAUAGGAGGCCGAUACACAUCUCAAAUGGCCAUGAGAGGCCAUGGAUUAGGCAGGGGUUGAGGUGGAUUAGGGUGGAAUUAGAUGGCGGUAGGUAGGGUUCAUGUGAGGUUGCAGAGAAAAGUGAGAGGGAAGGGAUUCAGAGGCGGCGGGUGGUGGAAAAUGAGUUAGGUUUAGGGGUCGUUCAGGGUUAAAAAUGGUAAAGGGGAUCGGUGGUCAUUGAUCUAAAUGAUCAACGACCUAGAUUUAAAAGGGUAGGUGGGGAAUCCGGGUUGGGCCUGUUAAACUGGGUUAGGGUCGGGUUUAAAUGAAAUUGGGCCGGGGAAAUUGGGUCUGAUUUGGGGUCAGAUUUAGGCUACAAUUUAAAUGCAAUUGGGCUAUUAUUUAAAUAGUCAAUAUUCCACUUUUAAAUUUAUAAAAAAUAGUAAAUAAAUUCUGGAAACAAAUUGAAAGCACUAAAAUGAUUUAUAAUAUACAAUUAACAAUUUAAAAAUACAGGGCUUAAUUUUAUGAAUAUAGAACACAAUUAAGCCGUAAAAUGGCUAAUAUUGCAAUUAUAUGCAAUUAGCUUUAAAAAAUACUAAAUAAAAUUGUAAAAAUUACCUUAGCUAUAUUUUAGAAUAAAAAUGAAAAUCCAAUAGAUGAAUUACCAAAAAAUAAUAAUUUUGGAAGUAAUUAUUGGGAUUUUAUGGAUAAAAAAAGGAAAUAGAUUGAUUUAAUAACCUUUAAAAAUUAUGGAAAAAUUAAUAAAACACUUGGAUAUGAUUACAUAUGCAUAUAUAUGACAUUUUGAAGUUAUUUUGCAUAUUGAAAAUAUAUAGGGAAAAAUUGGAUAUCAACACAAGGUUGGCUCCGAUCACUUUUUGGCGCCGUUACCGGGGAGCUAACGGUUUUGGCUAUCUAUCUAAAUAGUUUUGUGUAUUGUUCUUCUUUCCUCCUAUGUUACUAAUUUGUGUGUGUCACAACUUCAAGUACAAAAUGACAGCAAAUAACGCACCUCUUGGAGAUCUUCCGUCGGGGGUGGAGGUAGAUGACAAUGUUGAUGAUGAGGUUCCUAUUGUACCUCAAGGACAAAGGAGAGGCCGCCAAGCUAAUGAUAAUAUUCCAGACCCUCCCCGCCACCUCCAAGAGUGGCUCCUCGAGUGCUUCCCAACCAAGGAUAUGCAAGUGCAAUUGUACAACCCCGAAUCCGAGCGGGCAAUUUUCAAAUUACAAAUGUGAUGCUGACAUUGUUGGAUCAACGAGGGUAUUUCACGGGCGCUGCCAAUCAGAAUGAUUACAAACAUCUCAAGGGUUUCGUUGAUACCUGUUGGGGGAGCAAGCAAACUAAUGUGUCGGAGGAUGCACUUCGGUUGAGACUAUUCCCUUUCUCACUUAGAGGGAAGGCAUUGGAUUGGCUUGAACGACUUCCCAACCAUUCCAUCACUACUUGGGAUGAGUUGACGGAUAAAUUCAUUGCAAAGUUUUUCUCGCCGGGGCACAUGCCAGCAUUGAAAGAUGAGAUCUUAGCUUUCAAGCAGGAGCCCACCGAACCAUUACAUGAGAUUUGGGAGCGAUAUAGAACCAUGGUAAAUGAGUGUCCCAACAAUGAUAUGACUGAGACAAUGAUACAACAGACAUUUUACUGGGGCAUUAAUACAACAAAUCAAUGCAUAGUGAACCAACUUGGUGGGGGUAAUUUCAUGAAGCUGUCUUAUGAUGAGGCUUGUGACAUUCUUGACGAGAUGGUUGAUACGUCCUCCGCCUGGCAAAGUAGAGCCAAUGUGCCAUAGGGUAACCCCAUGGUCACUCACUUGUACAAAGAGCUACAUGAUCAUAGGCAGGCUAUAGCAGAGCUAACAACAAUAAUGAACCAGCUAGCAAAGGCAUAGUUACAGUAGGUUCAAAAUCCAUGCCAAGUAAAUGCUAUGGAGGGUGUCAACAUGCUAGUGAACAAAAGAAGACAAAGAGGUCAACAGAACCAAGGGAGUUCGGAUCAAUAUGACAAUGAUUGUGGUAGAUUCCAAGAUGAUGGUUAUGAUGGGUAGAAUGAAGAGGUGCAAUACGUGAACAAUUAUCAGGGCCAAAGGGGCAAUUCUUCCUACCAACAACAAUGGAGACCCCAAGGAAAUUAUGGCAAUCAACAACAAUAAGGGAAUAGUAAUUGGGGAAAUAACAACCAAAAUUUCAAUGGGGCAAUCAGAAUAAUAACCAGAACAAUCAGAGUAAUUGGAAUAGUAACAACAACAACUGGGGUGGCAACAACAAUCAGGGUGGUUGGAACAAUGGCAAUCAAGAAAAUCGGGGGCAAGGCUUUCAAAGGCCCCCAAUGUAUCAACAACCGAACAAUCCACCCCCAUUACCAUCCCAAGGUCCUAGUUCUUCUAACAAUGAAAUGGGGAGAAUUGAAAUUAUGUUUGAACAGAUGAUGAAAAAGAAUGCGAACUCUGAUGCUCAGUUGGCUUUCGACAAUACUUCAAUUAGGAACUUGGAGGUUCAAUUAGGCCAAAUCUCAUAAUCCUUGAAUACUCUCCCUAAUGGGGCUCUACCAAGUGAUACGGUAGUUAACCCGAAGGGUAGGAACAAUCAUGUUAUGUAGGUAACUACAAGAAGUAGAUGAAGCGGUAAUGUGAAUGCCUCCAAGCAAAAAGAAAUUUUGGGUGAUGAAGUUGAGUUGCAAGAAGAUGAGAUUCCUUUGGUGGUUGAAAAUAUGAUUGAUGAGAACGUGAAUGAGGAAGUGAGGAUUGACAUCCAAGAUACCGAGGUGGAAACCCAGAAUGACGUGAACCCGUCCAGGGAACACGUAAUAGACAUGCCGUAAACGAUUGUGCCUAAAUCCAAGGCUACCUCCACCUUAUCCUCAACGGCUCACGAAGAAGAAAAAUGAGAAUCAGUUUAAGAAGUUUAUUGACAUGAUGAAGAGCUUAUCCAUUAAUGUGCCUUUGGCGGAGGCUCUAAAGCAAAUGUCGGGUUAUGCUAAAUUCAUGAAGGACUUGUUGACAAAGAAAAGAUCCAUGGAUUGUGAAACUAUCAAGAUGACCCACCAAGUUAGUGCAAUAGUGCACUCAAUGGCCCCGAAGCUAAAAGAUCACGGUGCUUUCACCAUUCCUUGUACCAUUGGGAGUGCGGACAUUGCAAAAGCUCUAUGUGAUUUAGGGGCAAGUAUAAACUUGAUUCCCUGCUCAGUUUUCAAGACUUUGGGUAUUGGGCAACCGAGGCCGACUUCUAUAAGAUUGCAAAUGGCGGAUAGAACUAUGAAGAGACCAUUGGGUAUCAUUGAUGAUGUUCUUGUCUGUGUGGAUAAAUUUAUCUUGCCAGCUGAUUUUGUGAUCUUGGAUUGUGAGGUAGAUUACGGAGUUCCAAUCAUAUUAGGAAGACCUUUCCUUGCUACUGGGAAGGCCUUAGUUGAUGUGGAAGCAUGGAACUCACCUUCCGAGUGGGUGAUGAGAAAGUGGUCCUUCAUGUGUGCAAGUCAAUGAAGCAUCCCAACAGUUCUGAGGUGUGCUCUUUUGUGUACCUUGUCACGACAGUGAUAGUUGAUGAUACUAGUGCAAUGAUCAAUGUGGAGGACCCUCUAGAGGCAGUUUUGUUGAAUCUUGAUGUAAAUGAGGAUGAAGGCCAAGUGGAGUGCAUGAAUGCUUUACAUGGAAUGGGCUCUUACUCUUAUGAACCUAGGAAACUCUCUUUGGAUCUUGAGAAUAGGAAGACUCCACCAACAAAACCUUCAAUCGAGGAACCUUCGGUGUUGGAGUUGUAGCCGUUGUCUCCACACCUCAGGUAUGAAUUCUUAGGCCCUAGUUCAACUUUUCCAGUUAUUAUUUCCUCUUGUCUUACUAACAUGUAGGUUGAUGCCACAUUGGUAGUGCUUCAAAAGUGGAAGAAGGCAAUUGGAUAGACCUUAGCUGAUAUUCGGGGGAUAAGCCCUGUAUUCUGUAUAACAAGAUUAUUCUGGAAGAUGAUGCAAAGCCCUCCUUGGAAAAUCAAAGGAGGUUGAAUGAGGCAAUGUAAGAAGUUGUGAAAAAGGAGGUGAUCAAGUGGUUAGAUGUCGGGGUUGUGUACCCCAUCUCUGAUAGCUCUUGGACUUCGCCGGUGCAAUGUGUGCCGGAGAAGGGUGGCAUGAUCGUGGUUGCAAAUUCGCAAAAUGAGUUUAUUCCUACCAGGACCGUCACCGGGUGGAGGGUGUGCAUGGAUUACCGCAAGUUGAAUAAAGUAACCCGCAAUGAUCACUUUCCAUUGCCUUUUCUUGAUCAGAUGUUAGAUCGACUUGCUGGGCGUGCCUUCUACUGUUUCUUGAAUGGGUAUUUUGGGUACAACCAAAUCUUAAUUGCUCCGAAAGAUCAGGAGAAGACCACUUUCACUUGUCCAUAUGGAACCUUUGCCUUCUCUAGGAUGCCUUUUUGGUUGUGUAAUGCACCGGUUACAUUCCAACGGUGUAUGAUGGCCAUUUUCACCGAUAUGGUGGAAGAUAUUUUGGAGGUGUUCAUGGACGACUUUAGUAUUGUGGGGGAAUCGUUUGAUGAAUGUUUGAAAAAUCUUGAUAGAGUGUUGGACCGUUGUGAAGAAACCAAUCUUGUUCUUAAUUGGGAGAAAUGCCACUUCAUGGUUGAGGAUGGCAAAGUUCUUGGGCAUAAAAUUUCAAAGCAUGGUAUAGAGGUGGACAAAGCAAAAAUUGAUGUGAUUUCAAGGCUCCCUCCGCUACCUCUGUCAAGGGAGUUAGAAGUUUUCUUGGGAAUGCGGGGUUCUACCGGAGAUUUAUCAAAGACAUUUCGAAGAUAGUGAAUCCCUUAUGCAAGUUAUUCGAAAAAGAUGUCAAGUUCGUGUUCGAUGAGAGAUGUAUGCAAGCCUUUGAACUUCUCAAGCACAAGUUGACCACCACUCCUAUUAUUACCGCACCAAAUUAGAGCUUGCCUUUCGAGCUUAUGCGUGACGCGAGUGAUGUUGCGGUUGGGGCGGCCAUGGGUCAAAGAGUGAACAAAAUAUUUCAUUCGGUGUACUAUGCAAGCAAGAUAAUGAAUGAUGCUCAAGUAAACUACACGGUGACUGAGAAAGAGCUUUUGCGAUGGAGAAAUUUCGGUCGUAUAUCAUGGGUGCCAAGGUCAUAGUUGAUACCGAUCAUGCCGCACUUCGGUACUUGAUGACGAAAAAGAAUUCCAAAGCAAGAUUGAUGCGAUGGGUCUUGUUACUUCAAGAGUUUGAUUUGGAGAUUAUAGACCAGAAGGGUAGUGAAAACCAAGUGGCGGACCACUUGUCCCGCUUGGAGGAGGAGGGGAGGCCCCAUGAUGGCCUAGAGAUCAAUGAUUCAUUUCCCGAUGAGAAACUCCUUUCGGUGUGGGUGAAUGGUAUGCCAUGGUUUGCGGACGUUGCUAAUUUUCUUGUGACUGGUAUAAUCCCGUGUGACCUCUCUUCGAACCAAAGGAAGAAGCUCAAACGGGAUAGUUUGGACUUCUGUUGGGAUGAGCCGUACUUGUUCAAAAUUUGCACGAAUAGUGUGAUCCGAUGGUGUGUCCCGGAGGAGGAGCAAUUGAGUAUCUUAGAAGCUUGUCAUUCCUCUCCCUAUGGUGGCCAUCAUGGCGGGGAGAGGACGACUUCAAAAGUUCUUAGUUGUGGGUUUUAUUGGCCAACUUUGUACAAAGAUGCAAGUGAACUUGUGAAGAGAUGAGACGAAUGUCAAAGAGCGGGUGGAAUUUCUAAGAAAGAUGAGAUGCCUCUCAAUACAAUUCUUGAAGUUGAUAUUUUUGAUGUAUGAGGCAUUGAUUUUAUGGGCCCAUUUGUUAGCUUGUAUGGGAACACAUACAUUCUUAUGGCAGUUGACUAUGUUUUAAAGUGGGUUGAAGCCGUGGCUCUACCUAACAAUGAGGCCCGGAGUGUUGUUGCAUUUCUCAAGAAGAGCAUUUUUACAAGGUUUGGCACUUCUCGUGUAAUCAUAAGUGAUGGGGGGGGGGGGUCUCAUUUUUGUAAUAGAGCUUUUGACACUUUGUUUGCAAAGUAUGGUGUCAAUCACAAAGUCUCUACUCCUUAUCAUCCUCAAGCGAGUGACCAAGUUGAAGUUUUAAACAGGGAAAUCAAGAGUAUAUUGUCAAAGACGGUCAAUGCAAAUAGGACCGAUUAGUUAAACAAGUUGGAUGAUGCUCUAUGGGCUUAUAGGACUGCUUACAAGACUCCGAUUGGUAUGUUUCCGUACCGGUUGGUGUUUGGGAAAGCUUGCCAUCUACCAGUUGAGUUAGAGCACAAGGCCAUGUGGGCUUUGAGGAAGCUGAAUCUUGAAUGGGAUGUGGUAGCAAAUCUUCGUGUGGAGCAGCUUAAUGAACUUGAUGAAUUCCGAUUCCAUGCCUACUCCAGUUCGUCCUUGUACAAGGAAAAGAUAAAGUACCUUCAUGAUAAAUAUACUCGUGGCAAGGAGUUCAAAGUGGGUGAUUUGGUUCUCUUGUUUAAUUCUCGGUUACGUCUAUUUUCGGGAAAGCUUAAGUCGAAAUGGAGUGAACCUUUUGAAGUGGUGUUUGUGACUCCGUUUGGUGCACUUGAGUUGAAGAAUAAAAAUGGGGAGGUUUUUAGAGUUAAUGUGCAUAGGGUCAAGCACUACCUGGGCAAGAUUGAUGACAGCCACGUGGUGGCACUGCUCUAUCUAAAGUGAUUUGAUGGUAACCUGCAUCGUGCCGCGACGUUAAAUCAGGCGCUUCUUGGGAGGCAACCCAUAUGUCUUUCUUUUUAUUUUUCUUUGAUUUUCUUUGUAGUAUAGGAUUUGCUUUUGGACUAAAUGGUUGUGAGAUGUUGUAGGAUUAUUUUGAUGUAGUGCAGGACCAAGUUAGGAAAAAUGCACACUCUCUGAAGUUUGCAUGCGGCCGCAUUGCAUUUUGUGCGGCCGCAAAAGCCUCAGUGCGGGGGCAACAUUUCAAUGUGGUCCGCAUAGUUAAUUGGUCAAAAUUGGGGUUCUCUAAAGUUUGCCACCGCGACCGCAAUGCAUAUUGUGCGGUCCGUGGUAGACCACUGCAGCCGUACUGCAUUUCUUGCGCUCCGCAGUGGGUGUCUCCCUAAUGCCUCUUGUUUCUGAGUACCGCGGAUCGCAGUGCAAUUUUGUGCGGUCCGCGGUGGGUAGGUGAAGUGGGCCCGAUGUCUUUUUUUCUAUAAAUAGGGUCUGAGGCCUUCAUUUUGAACUUUUCAAUCUUUUGCUCACUGAAUAGAAAAUAAUUACUGUUCAUCACUCUUACCUGCUCAAAUUCAACUGCUGAGUCUCAUUAAUCUACAUUGCAUCUCACUACCGGUAAAUUUUUUUCCUUAGUUUUUAACUUUUAUUUUCUUUUAAUUAGUUAGUUUUUCUUCUUUUUCUUCUCGUUUUCUUUUAAUUAUGUAUCGUAGUUUGUUUAAUCAUGCUUAGAUUAGGGUUAAUUAGUGACAACUAAUGAUUAAACACCUAGGAAAUUAAUGAUAUAUGAUUUUAGGCUUAAAUUGAUAAAAUAUUGAAACCCUAGGAUUGGUAUUACUGUGAUGGGCUUAUCGCGGUCCGCGAUGGUAUUCUGUGCGGUCCACGGUGCUUCUCCGCGGUCCGCAAUACCAUUUUGUGCGGACCGCAAUGGUAUCACUUCAGAAAGGUUUUAAGUUGGGGACCGUGGCCGCGAUGAAUUUUGUGGGGUCUGCGGUGCCUUAAUACGGAGUGCAAUACCAUUUUGUACGGUCUGCAAUGGCCUUUAUCAGAGAGUGGGUAGUAUGACCCCCACCUGAGUGCGGACUGCAGUGCAUUUUGUGUGGUCCUCGGUAGCUUCUUUGCGGCCGCACUUCAUUUUGUGUGGUCCCAGGUCUGCAAUUGUGCUUUUAAUUUUCAACUGUCUGCAAUUUUAUUCUGCACUGCUUCAUCUGAUAUUGGGAUACUAACAAGAAAAGAACGCAUUCUCCUUGCAGAGUCCUCCCGGGGUAGGGGGACGAGGCAUGAUUAGAUUGACCCCGCAAGCCCGACAAGCUAUCAAGGACACUAGAAGAAUCAUAAGGGUUGCUGAUAGAGCUGCUUCCCAUUCGAGAAAUGAGUAUAUGACCUCCUGGGAGGCAUCCGACUCCAACUCCAUGCCAAAAUAUGUUCCUGACUGGACAGAGAGGCCUAGAUUGAGAGAUACACCUCCAGGCACCCCUACUGCCCCAGCGUCAGUGCGAAUUUCUUCUGAGUCGUCUGAGGGCUCAGCUGCGGGUAGUGACAAUGCUUAUUCUACCUCACCUACAGCUUCAUUAUCCGGUAAGGAUCCCAUAGAAGAAGAAGUAGGGGUGAGCCCCAAUUAGGAGGAUUAGAGAUAACUAGGAACCAGGACACAUGGCAAGAUAGAUUUGUAAGUGAAGUGGCCUACCACAAGUUCAGAGAAUGGUGGCCCGAGAGGAAGUUAAUACCUGAGCGGAAAUUCAUCACAAAGGACCUUUUGCCUCAUAACCCCAAUGUGCUGAGGCAGUUCAGAGAGAGAGCAGGCCGGGACUAUUUCAUUGGACACGUGGAGAUACAAAUGAGCACUUGGUGAAGGAAUUUUACACGAAUGUUGCCCACAUAAAAAAAGGGCACUACAGUGACCAAAGUGCGAAAUUUGAAAGUAAAUUUGAUGGAAAAACGAUCAAUGACUACUUGGGCUUCCCAGAGGAGGAUGAGGCAUUGUACUUAGAAAAUGUGGCAUUGGGUGAGGCAACUCGUGCUUGGUUAGCAGUGUACUUGGCAAUCCCAGUUACCACCCCAACUUGGUUGACCGCGGGAGUGAAAAUUCUGAGGAGAGCCCUGAACUUCGAAGCAAAAGGGUGGGAGAUAUUUUUUUGUAACAGGAUAGACCCCACCACUCACGACAACUCUCUUCAUAUCUCCCGGGCUAUAUUGGUGGCAUCUAUCAUGGCGGGGUACCUGAUCAACAUCGGGAAUGUGAUAUCUAGGGUGAUUACGCGGGCGGUGAACGAAGGUGAUAGAUCCUACCCCUUCCCAAAUUUUUUGACCAUGUAUUUUGAGGAUCUAGAUGUGAGAAGAGAAUAUUUGAUAUGAAAGUAAAAGCCAAGGCACUUUUCUCCUGGUACAACACCAAGGGUCCUGACAACCCCAAGGACCCUAAAGGCAAAGCCACUACUUCAACUGGCCAGUCUGAAGAGCCAGUAGUAGUAGUGGCUCCUACUCAGCCUUCUUCAGCCACACCAGACAUGGCCCCAAGACCCUCCACUUCUAUAGUUCUAGAUAUCCCCUCAUCUGCAGCAUAUCCUUUGACUGCCCACCGUUUGAGCCAGACCCUUGCCAGUAUCAACAACUGAAUGCAGACAUCUACUUCUAAGUUGUCUGUACUUUCUACUUUGGUGGCAUCCCAGUCUGCACCUCCUCAGCCACAAGUCCUACAGUUAGUGAAGGACACUCUCAAGGAGCUUUUGGAGAACCAAAAGAAGCUCCUAGAGAACCAGAAAUUAAUAUUGGACGAUGUGGGUUCACAUGGAAAAGCAUUGAAGGAUUUGGCCAAAGAAACAAAAAGACUGAGGAACACUCGGGCAUCCAAGGAGUCAGUGAAAGAGUUGAGAGUGGAAGUGGAGAGGUUGAAGGUGGAUCACUUGCCUUUGGACCUUUUAUUGCAUGACCCGGCUCCAGCAGCCUAGCCUGAGCAGGAGACAGAGAGGCCAGCCAAGAAGAAGAGGGUGAUUCCCCAUACUGAUGAUGCUGUUAUAGAGUUGGAGGACCCGUAGGGAGGUUCCUCUAGUCAGCCCCAAAUUCCAGUACAGGCCCAGGACUCAGUACAUGCCGAGGUCCCAGAGGAGACACAGAUUACAGGGAGCCAGUCACAGGUUCUCGAGCAGUCCAAAGACCUAGGGACCCAUACUCAGGAUCCUUUGUAGACGGAGGGCCAAUAGGGAGUUUCUUUUUACUCUCUAUCUUUUCUUGUGCUUAUUUUGGUUAGUUAGCAUUGAGGAUAAUGUCAGCUUUCAUUUGAGGGGGUAACCCUAUUUGGAUGAUUUGGGUUGUAUAUAUGGCAUUACAUUCUUUUUAUGUUUUUUUUUUACUUUUGAUAUGUACAUAAUUUUAUCAUUUUAUUGCAUUUUUAGUACUUUUUACUUUUAGUCUGUAUAUAAAGUUACGUUCUAAUGUAUAUAUUCAUUCUCCCUUAUGUAUAUUCGACUAAAUCCCCUCUUGUAUAUAUUCAUUUUACUUUCCACAUUUUUUCUUUCAUAGCUUCUUAUUUUAUUUUUGUAGCUUCGUGUUUUGAAUUUUUGCGGGCAAUAAUCCUUUGGUUUUUUAAUGUCACGGUUACCGAUGAUGGAUGACAUGACAACCUUCUUAAGGGUUUGGGUCUGUUUUCUUUUUGCUUUUUGUGUAAAUAGUAGCUAGUGAGUAAUGGUGCCUCAGGCAAAGCUUCACUUGGGCUUAACGCAUUUGCCUUUGAUCCUAUGGUCUAAAAUAAAUUGUUGUAUAUAAAAUGGUGAAAGUUGUGACCUUGAGACUUUUGUGUUGGCCGAUAAUCAUCAAAUGGUUUUUCGGGACCAUUGUGUUGCUCAAAUCUUAGCUAAGGUUGUUGUGGGCCCCCNNNNNNNNNNNNNNNNNNNNNNNNNUACAAAAAUAGAAUAAAAGGAAAAGCAAUGAAAAAGAAAGAAAAUCAAAAAGACAAAAAUAAUGAUCAAUGUAGAAAAAAAUAA
rnacentral:lncRNA from 1 species